UAUGCAAGCAAUGCCUCUUGGUGUAUAGUUGACGAGACUAGGCAGGGGUGAUUGUUUAAUUGGAACUCUUGACAGAAGCAUUAGAUGAUAAAUAUUGAAAUGAUACUCAAGAGUGUAAUAUAUUAUAUGAAGUGUAAUUUUAAUAGGAAUGUAUUUUAUAAGGUUGAAUAGUGAUGCUUAAAUCUUCAUGGUUCGAGGUCCUUUGAAGAUACUUUUUCUGGCCUCCUCCUCCAACAGAAAAGAAGUGAAAGAAGAAAAACUGUAACACUGUAACGUACCUAGUACAUUCCUUUUUAGUUCUAAUACCUUCCCUAUUACUCCCACGUUUGCUGUGAGUCACCAAAUGAUCAUGCCUACAACAUUAUGCCAUCCUGUUCUAUAAUAGUGUCCUUCAGCAGUAGUUAUACUCGCAAA
rnacentral:lncRNA from 1 species